GGGGUUGUAGCUCAGUACGGUUAGAGCGCCGGCCUGUCACGCCGGAGGCCGCGGGUUCAAGUCCCGUCAGCCCCG
rnacentral:tRNA from 1 species